rnacentral:rRNA from 1 species
AGUGAACGCUGGCGGUAGGCCUAAUACAUGCAAGUCGAACGGCGGCACAGUAAACUCUUACUCUUACGAGUGGCGAGUGGCGGACGGGUGAGGAAUACAGCGGAAUCUACUUUUUCGGGGGGGAUAUCGUAGGGCAACUUAUGCUACUACAUCAUAACACCUACGACAAGAAUCAGGGGUUCUUCAUACCAUGCCCUCUUGAAUGAACGAUUGUCGGAUUAGCUAGUUGGCGGGGUAAAGGCCCACCAAGGCGACGAUCCGUAGCUGGUCUGAGAGGAUGGUCAGCCACACUGGAACUGAGACACUGUCCAGACUCCUACGGGAGGCAGAAGUGGGGAAUAUUGGACAAUGGGCGAAAGCCUGAUCCAGCCAUACCGCUUGGUUGAAGAAGGCUUUCGGGUUGUAAAGCCCUUUUGUUGGGAAAGAAAAGCAGCAGGGUAAUACCCCGCUGUUCUGACGGUACCCAAAGAAUAAGCACCGGCUAACUUCGUG